GGAUUGAAAUGGGCGCAGCCUGAUCCAGCAAUUCCGCGUGAGNGAAGAAGGCCUUCGGGUUGUAAAGCUCUUUUGUCAGGGAAGAAACGGUGAGGGCUAAUAUCCUUUGCUAAUGACGGUACCUGAAGAAUAAGCACCNAGCUAACUACGUGCCAGCAGCCGCGGUAAUACGUAGGGUGCAAGCGUUAAUCGGAAUUACUGGGCGUAAAGCGUGCGCAGGCGGUUUUGUAAGUCUGUCGUGAAAUCCCCGGGCUCAACCUGGGAAUUGCGAUGGAGACUGCAAGGCUAGAAUCUGGCAGAGGGGGGUAGAAUUCCACGUGUAGCAGUGAAAUGCGUAGAGAUGUGGAGGAACACCGAUGGCGAAGGCAGCCCCCUGGGUCAAGAUUGACGCUCAUGCACGAAAGCGUGGGGAGCAAACAGGAUUAGAUACCCUGGUAGUCCACGCCCUAAACGAUGUCUACUAGUUGUCGGGUUUUAAUUAACUUGGUAACGCAGCUAACGCGUGAAGUAGACCGCCUGGGGAGUACGGUCGCAAGAUUAAAACUCAAAAAAAUUGACGGA
rnacentral:rRNA from 1 species